UCUCUGGUAGCUCACCUGGUAAAGAAUCUGCCUGCAAUGCAGGAGACCCUGGUUCGAUUCCUGGGUUGGGAA
rnacentral:tRNA from 1 species